AUACGUAGGGUGCAAGCGUUAAUCGGAAUUACUGGGCGUAAAGCGUGCGCAGGCGGCUUUGUAAGACAGAGGUGAAAUCCCCGGGCUCAACCUGGGAACUGCCUUUGUGACUGCAAGGCUAGAGUACGGCAGAGGGGGAUGGAAUUCCGCGUGUAGCAGUGAAAUGCGUAGAUAUGCGGAGGAACACCGAUGGCGAAGGCAAUCCCCUGGGCCUGUACUGACGCUCAUGCACGAAAGCGUGGGGAGCAAACAGGAUUAGAUACCCUGGUAGUCCACGCCCUAAACGAUGUCAACUGGUUGUUGGGUCUUCAUUGACUCAGUAACGAAGCUAACGCGUGAAGUUGACCGCCUGGGGAGUACGGCCGCAAGGUUGAAACUUAAAGGAAUUGACGGGG
rnacentral:rRNA from 1 species